GACCCGAGUAUUUCAAUUGUUUCUGUAAUCCGAGUAUUCUGCGUGAAGGUCGUUGGCACUCAAUGUAAGUUUUAGUUUGGACAUAACUUCUAUGAAACCGAUUUUAUAACGGUCUAAAUCUAUCUGUGUUUAUUUGUUUAAGCCUACUGUUAUGUUAGUGUGGCAUUGUUAGGCGAUUUGCAUAGAUAGUGUGUUGCACUCCGCCCUUUGGGGAAUUUAAGUAGUAGCCAGAUUGGCUAACCUAAGCUGGUACAGUUUUGUAAUACGACGUAUACCUUCUCACACACUGAUAUGCUUUCAGCGUUUGUACAGUUGAAUGGUUACAGCAAUAGGUUUUUGAAGGGAUUUCUUCUCGUGUAGCCUAUAUGCGCUGUGUAACUCUGUUUACAACAAGUAAGUGAUUUGAAGGUAAUGACUAAGAACACAGGCGUUCAAUUGAACAUUUUAUUCAAUAUGCAGUCUUUACAUACGCCUUGCAAAGAUAAGGUGACGCCAUGCUGGCGUGUUUGGCUUCUUUUGAGCUUAAACGUUUUGGCUUGUUCUUGAGUAAUUUAAAAUAACGUUGUCAGAUUAUUUAAAUCUUACCAGGAAUAGGUGUGGCACAGUCAUCCUGGACCGUGAAGUUCUGGGAUAUCUGAGGAGUGAGGGAGAGAGAAAAAAUAGAAAGGAAAGAAGAGGCAUAGGAGAGACAGAGAGAAUACGAAUUAUUAAACCUCACCAUUAAGUUUCCCCCCAAAAUUAGGCCUAUAUAUUCUUUUCGCCAAAAACUGAUCGUUACUCUCGACAAAGCACUUUAUAAUCGAUUAUUUUUAGAUGUAGUGUACACGCUAUUUAUUAACCUCACCGCAUUUAUGAACCUCACAUCAAGGCCUGCAUGUACUAAGCAUGUGAAACGAUUAACUUUUUGCCCGUCACACACCACGCCCCUGUUAUUAUUAUUAUUACUAUUAUUAUGUAAAAUAUUUUCGGGAGUUUUUUAAUAGUCAGUAUGAUGAGAUUUGUCAUGCAUGUUUCUGGUAACUGGUUGAUGGUUAGUCCGUAGACUCAACAGCUUAAUUAAUACAUUUACAUUUCUGUUUUAUAUGGGGAUAGGGCUUAACUGUGCAGAUUCUCCUUGUAUAGAGACCCAUAAACUCAUGUGCUACACAAACAGGUCCACAGCUGCUAUGUUGUACAACAAUAGAGAGAUAUUGAGUGACUUAUGCGACGAAGGUGUUACUGAGUUAGAUACGCUUUUUGUUAUUUUUAUUGAUUUGUCGUCUGGGAUUUUUAUCUAACUUAUUUAUUUAUUUGGGGGGGGGGGCAGUGUAAAACCCAGAUAAAGGAAAUAUUCUCUCAGUGGUAUUUGUAUAACAUCAGUCCUACCGCUCCCAAUGCGUUGAUUUAUCGGGAUGGGUCUUACCGUUGUGCUUUUAACAGCAGCCUGUCGGGCUCUCUGCUUCUGCAGCAGUUCUCUCACGGUGGCCUUCACUCGGACACCCUGGUACACCUUCGGUUUAUCUGUGCCGGGAGAGUUAAUCGGAUGUUACCAAAGCCUGUAUAUGCCCAUCUACGCGGCAACACCCACGCCUUCUCUUGAUUGCAAUAUAAAAGUGAUGUAACCUCCCGUUUAGUUCUUGUAGCCUGCUUGUGCUAAACAUUUUGGAGUCCACGGUGGAAAUCUAAAAGAGCUGUCAAUUAAAGUUAAACCGCUAGGCGGUUUCAGUAGCCAAACAACAUGUGCAGGUAAGUAUAGCCACGUAACCUGUAUGGAUACAAAGGUUAAUCCGGCGUGUGUAAUGAGCACGGAGUGGUUUUCAACCAUACAGUAUAAAUCACACAAACUUAAAAGAAUGUUUUAUUUUCAAGUUUAUUACAAAUAGCCCCCCCCCCAAACGGUGGUUGUAUGGAGUCCAACGGAGUGUAAUUUGAGCUUGAUUACUGCAUCGUAAUCGUUCUCCGGCGUAUGGCAACGAACGGGUUAGCGUUUCGAAUUACAGAUGUGAAUGGCGCAUUACUGCUGGAAGCGGGGAGACGCGUUUUCGGCCAUUUUAAAUGCGGGUUAAGACGCGUAAAAUACACUCAUAAGCGUUUUAAAUUUGCAAACACGAAUUUUGAGAAUUAAAAAAAAAAGAUGAACGUGAUCAUAGGCCUACGUUUUUUUAUCAUGUCUCCAAAGUCCCGAAACAGAUCGUAAAGUAACAAAAGAAUAGGAUUUUUAAUACUUUGACAAAGACCCGAAGGACGAACAGUAGAGGGAAUAUGAAAAGUUGCGUUGUAGAUCAUCGAUCGUGCGACAUUCUUCUGUGCUCUCAAGUAUAUUUCAAAAUAAAAGACUGAAAAGACGAAGAAUCUCAAGGAAUUAAAAUGGUUAUAAACUCACCAGACAUGUUGGCUGAAGGAAGUGAAAAUCUCUGAAACAAGUGUUGCUGUGAGCCUCUUCAGUCAGUCAGCUCUGGCUCAAUUAUAUGGGCUAGAAUGAAAUAAUUACAAAAGUCGCACUAACUCUCAACACAAAAGUCUUAGACCUGGUCGAGGACAUACAAUAAUAUUGAAUUAUAGCUAGGGAUAUAUUAGUUUGAGUAUUUCUCUCUCCAUGCCUACUAUUUAAAACCUCUAGAACUCAAUGAUUUGACAAUCAAUGAUUGCGCGAUACUUUCAAUUUGAAUAUUCAAAGGCUUCACAAAAAGAGUGUUCUUUUAGUGAUACAUACUAUAUUAAUGCUUUAAAUAAGACCCCCUUUAAUAGAAUAUAGUGAUAUUUUGCUGCCAGACUCAAAAUAAACGGACAUUUUAAACAUUUUAUAUACCUUUUAAUAUCGAUGUGGUUUGUCCCCAAGACAAAGCACUAUUUCGCUGUCAGAAUCAAAAGCUACAUCUUAAUAGCUCAAAACAUGACGCACGAUGUCUUUAACAUGUUUUACAACUGGCAGUUAUAACAAAUAAUCAUUUUCAUAGAUGUUUGCCACCAUUUUUGACAAUAUUUAAAAGAACACUGAGGUUGUGGGCGUGGCAUAUGGCAGCAGCCAUGCCAUCACUGGCUGUGGCCCGAGACCAUUACUGGAUGUAUCCAACAUUAUCUACCUGCACUUACCCCAUAUAAAUAUGACAAUUAGAACUUGUCAUUGUUUUGAUUUGUGGUUAAAGCUAAUGGGCAAUGUACAAGUAGAAUGUCUGAAUAUAAAUAAGGACAUUCGUAAUUCCGGUAGAAGUAUAUCAAUUAACUGCAAGGCCAAUGAAUUUAGCCAAUUAAAAUCUACUUAAGGGAGGUCUAUAUCAAAAAUGGAAAUUAUAGAUGCUAAUCAGACACAAAUUAAGCGCUUUGAUGCAACAUUGUACUUUAUUUCAGUAUGAUUCAGUACGAGUAACAUCGUAAUAAUCUUUAAAACCGACUUCAAAAUGGCUUUCAUUUACUUUCCCCCAAAACAAAAUGCUGGUGAUCGGUAACCCCUUUAAAAAUAAACAAGUAUCUUUCGUCACCAAAAAGAUAUAAUUGUACUUGGUUUUUUCGAUUUGUAGCCGAAGUACCCUGUUUCAGGUUGCACUGUGUUUUGACCUUACUCACGUGUAAACGAAAUUGAACACGAAACCACAUUAUUAAUAUUAUUAUUGCAUAAUUUUAUGAUGUUACGUGAGGAUGCAAUCAACCUUUAUCUGACAAAACACCCCAUCUCUUUGUCUCCCUUCAAGCACUCAUGCCUACACACAUAGAAACGCUGAAAACGACUAAAUCAUAUUUGGAAUUGGUCUUCUAAGUCCUUACACUUAUUUCAUAUAAACAUUUUAGGCUAUAGUAAAUGACGGUACUAGUGGUACCCAAUUCCGGUUUUGUGAUACAUCUCCAUGUUUCAUAUUGUUUUCCACUCGUUAUUCUUUUUUCUUUUUUAUAAUUUAUAACCAAUCACAGGGAUAUUCCAGAUUGCCACACCUAUUUUUCUUCCUUCCAUGAACAACAAAUUAAAACGUUUUUUUCAUAUCAUUCAUCUGUAUUAAUUACACAAUGCCAUAUACAUUUUUGUAAUCAAUGUUGUAAAGACAGAGUUGCAGUAUUAUUCUAUUAGAAUUAGUUAAUGAUGGUGUAAGUAGUUAAAAUAAUGAACAGAACAGGAUAAUGGAACGUAAUAAUAAGUUAGCUGCAUGCAUACUUAUCCAUGCGUAUUUGUUUUACGCGUACGUAUAGACGUUUUUAAACGAAACCGGUCACCAGUUUUUAGUGGUAUUAUCUCAAUAUCCUAAAAUCUAUUGUUAGAAUAACUGUUAAUUAAUUAAUUAAUGUGUGAUAUAUUUAACCAUUUAUGUAAACACAUACUUUGCAGAUAAAGUCAGUUCGUAAAUAUAAAGAUUGGGCAAGAUACAAGUCAUGUUUUUAUAUUAAGUCAAAAUAUGGUAAAGUAUAAUCAUUCACCAGAAGCAGGCUCUUGCGUUAAACCGUAUUUAUACGAAAAUACACUAUAUUUACACUAAAACAGUGAACUGUCUUUGGAAAGAGCGCAGUGACAAUGAACCCAAAAAGUUAAUAUUUCUGUGUUUCAUAACAACGUUUUCUCUAAUUCGACCGUUAGCCAUCGUGUGCUACUGUUUGGCUGCUUUAAAUUUCACGUUUGACGCAGAUUUGUAUGUCAUUGGUGAAUUAUAGAGAAAAUGCGCGAGGCUGACUUGAAAACUUUUGGUCCCAUCAGUACCUCAUGCUGAUCGAACAACGUACUCCUGCUGACCGACCAUAGACGUCCACGUGUCUGUCAUUUUAUGAUGUUAUUACAUUAUGCUAUAAUUUAUUGGUCAAAGUGUAAUACUUUUUCUAAAGUCGCGACCCGUGUUGUACUUGAAUUGCUGCGCCAUCUAGUGUACAGCUCUCGACCUGAAUCAGAACCAUAACCAAAAGUAACCACACAAAAUAGAAAACUAAAUUUUUAGUUUUUUGAUUGUAUUCAAGGAUUUUUAUAAAAUUGAGUCCUUCCCAUGUGGGGACCAGAGAAAAAAUCCCACAAGGUAAAAAGCAUCAGGUUUUAUUACAUUGUGGGAACAUUGGGUCCCCACAAUGUAAUUUAUACAAAACACAGACACGCGCACACACACGCACACACACACACACACACACACGCACACACACACACGCACGCACGCACACACACACACACACACGCACGUACAGAAAGUGAACUUUGGGGUCAGAGCGCUGAGUUACGUCACAGAUCUAGCACCCCUUGGAGCACUUUGGUGGGUUAGGAGCCCAGCUCACGGGUCGGGCGGUUCUGCCAUGGUCAGGGCUGGGACUGUCCCUGACUGUAACGGCGUGUGUAAACAGGGCGCCCAGUUUACUUACUGCAAAGAUGAAAGACAACUGAUUAACGAAAAUAGACUGAAUUACCUAAAAAUGGCUAAUCUUUAUAAUUCAUAUAGCCUAAACCUAAAAGUAUUUGUGAAUAUUUCACAGUGAAUAUUUUAUCAUGGUCAUGACGCCUGAAUCAUUUCAUGGACUGAAAAUACUGUUUAAUCCACAUAAACCAUGUUUUACGAGACACAAGGUACCUGACAGCAGGUAUUGCUGACCGUUCUGCCUUCCCCCUCUGCAGUUGUAUCCUUUACCCUUGUGUGUUUUGGCUUUUUAUAGUUUGCUUUUUGCUUUUCCCAGUGUUUAGUUUCUGUCAUAGUCCUCCCAUCCAUAGCAUUACUGGCUUAUCGGGGUAACUUUUUAAGGGAUUUAUGGGAGUCUGGGCAAAAUGUAAGUCCAUUUAAACUGUGGUACCUUAAAUCCGCCAGUAACCCCACUUCGUAGUACAGGCCACUAGUGUUAGAAUAGUGUUUUCUAGUUGUAUGUUAAGUUCCCGGGGGUGGGAUGGUGGUGCAGUGGUUAGCACUGUUGCCUCUCACCUCUGGGACUCGGGUUCGAGUCUCCGCCUGAGUCACAUGUGUGUGGAGUUUGCAUGUUCUCCCCGUGUCGUCGUGGGGUUUCCUCCGGGUACUCCGGUUUCCCCCCACAGUCCAAAAACAAUUAAUUGAUAAUAGGCUAAUUGGAGUUGUAGGUGUGCAUGUGUGAGUGAAUGGUGUGUGAGUGUGCCCUGUGAUGGGCUGGCCCCCCAUCCUGGGUUGUUCCCUGCCUCGUACCCAUAGGGAUAGGCUCCGGACCCCCUGCGACCCAGUAGGAUAAGCGGUUUGGAAAAUGGAUAGAUGGAUGGAUGUUGAGUUCCCUACUCCUGUGAUUUCCUCUUCAUUAGUUCCAUUUGUUGCCUGUUACCUAGUCUUCCCCGUGAUUGGUUCUCUGGUUAAUGCUUCUCGCCUGCGUCCUCGUUAGCUUAGCUUUGGUUGUGUAUUUAAGUUCCCGCUUUAGUUCAUUUCCCCAGUUCAACAUUGUAUGAGAGUUUGUGUGAUGUUACUGUGUGUGUGACUAAGCUAGUUAUCCUAGUUAAGAACAAAAGAAAUUUACAAAUGAGAGGAGGCCAUUCGGCCCAUCAAGCUCUUUUGGGGAGAUCUCAACUAAUAGCUCUGAGUUAUUAAAAUCUUAUCUAGCUCUUAUUUAAAGGAACCCAGGGUUUUGGCUUGCGCUACACUAACAGGAAGACUAUUCCAUACUCUAACUACACGCUGUGUAAAGACAUACUUCCUCAAAUUCAUUUUAAAAUAUUCUCCCCCUAAUUUCCACUUAUGGCCACGAGUUCUAGUAUUUAAACCUAAUAUUAAAGUAGCCAUUUGAAUGAACAGCAUCCAGACCUGUUAGAAUCUUAUAUACCUGGAUCAUGUCCCCCCUUAGUCUCCUUUGCUCGAGGCUAAACAGAUUCAGCUCAGCUAACCUCUACUCAUAAGACAUUCCUCUAAGACCAGGAUUCAUUCUCGUCGCCCUACGUUGCACCUUUUCCAAGGCAGCAAUGUCCUUCUUAAGGUAUGGUGACCAAACCUGCACACAAUAUUCUAGGUGGGGUCUUACCAAGGAAUUAUAUAAUCGCAGCAUCACCUCCCUUGACUUAAAUGCCACACACCUAGAGAUGUAACCCAACAUCCUAUUGGCCUUUUUAAUUGCUUCUCCACACUGGCGAGAGUGGGACAUGAAAGCAUCAACAUACACACCAAGGUUUUUCUCAUAAUCAGCUACCUUUAUUUCUGUGGAACCCAUAAAAUAUCUGUACUUUAUAUUUCUGCUCCCUGCAUGGAUUUCUUUACAUUUAUCUAUGUUAAAUUUAAUCUGCCAGGUAUCAGCCCAGUCGUUAAUUAAAUCAAGAUCCCGUUGUAGCCUCUGUGCUGCUAAUUUAGCAUCUGCUACACCACCUACCUUGGUGUCGUCUGCAAAUUUAACCAGUUUACUGUAUGUAUUGGUGUCAGUAUCAGUGAUGUAAAUUAGGAACAGUAGUUCUGUUGUCCUGCAUUGUCACUUGCUGGUAGUUUCUUGUUUUUCCUGUUUGCUUUUGACUCCUCACUGUACUGUUUUGUCAUAAUUAUGAUCAACUUUACAUUGUCAUGAGAAACUGUCAUUAUGGAUUUCAAUCUUGUAAGAAUGACAUGUAUAUAUUAAAGGCAGACAACUGGAUUUUUAAACAUUGGAUCCUGUGGACAUAUUACAUGCUUUAUAAUUUGCAUGUUUUACAGCAUGAAUCACUUGCUUUUCAUCUGCCCUUAGCUACUGUUUAAGGUCUCCUAAGAUGGCUGGUGCAGUGUAAGGUCUCCUGCGCCCCCCGCAAGAAGCAAACGGAGGUGUUUCUUCAGUCACAGCCAGUCGUAUGGCAAUGACAGACCUGUCCCCUCAAGCUCUGCCGUUUACAUGCAGUAUCUUUUACGAUCGGAUGCCCUGCAGGUUUGUUGUAAGAUUCUUACUUUAGCUUUUUUGUUCUUUAAUUACUUUAUUGUUUUAUUGUGUUGCUAUCAGAUCUAAACAAAAAACGUUUACACUAAUCUUUGCCCAGUACACUGUGUGAUGAAAUAUAUUUGCCUUGUGUAACACCAAGUUGUCUAAAGCUCUUUUUCCCACACGGUGUUUCCAUUAUCGUCAGGAAAAAAAAAAUCAUGUACAGGCAUGAAAUUCUUUUGCAUGCAAUGAAUUACAUGUGUACUGAGGAGUAAUCUUUCAUGGUGUUGCAUUUAAAACAGAUUUAAAUAAAACACACUAACCCGAGACUGAAAUAUUUAAAAUAAAUCCCCUCGGAACCUUGAAUUCACAUUGGAUCCAAAUAAAGCAUUGAAGUACCAAAAUCCAUAGCAUUAUUCUUAUGUUUUUUUUUAAAUGGGUAAUGGAGGGGGGGGUAGUGGUCCAUACAGGUUCUAUUUUUUUUCAUGCUGUUCUCUGGAACAUAGAAAUGUCUAUCUGUCUACCCUGUGGCCUGUGUAUAUUGAUAUUAGCAUUCAUCAAUAUCUUUGGCCUAGUAUGGGGCCCUGCCCCUUGAACCCCCACCCCUAAAUCAACGACAACAAAUCAGAAACAAGUUUGGUGGUCAAAGACUUCUCAAUGUGAGAUCAGAGUAAGCCUAUGCUAUGGGGUACAAACCAACAGAAAGGCUACUAUGCUGUGAAUCAUAGGUCAUUUUAAGGAUGGUUACGGGAGUGAUGUGUCACGGCACAUAGGACUUAGAACCCUGUUGUGUACAAAGCUAAGUAGCCGUGUGUCAGUCCAGUAAAUCCCAGAUGCUUACAUACUUGGCCAUCCAGGGAACAGAAAAUUUUGCGGCAGGCCACCUCCUUCCAUUGCUCCAUGGUCCAGUUCUGUUGUUCACGUGCCCAUUGCAGGUGCCUUCUCCGGUGCACAGGGGUCCACAUGGACACACUGACCGGCCUGCUGCUAAGUAGCCCCUUACAGAGCAGGGCUUGAUGGCACAUUACUGCCACAUCCAUCAUAGAAAUUAUCUGCCAUUUGUGCCCUUAAACUGGUUCAUACCAAAGGGGGGGGCCUUCAUUCCCAUCCCACACUGACGAGUCUUGGCCACCCAACCCCCUUUUGGUGAGUCAAGGUUUUUCCAUCCCAGUAGGUUCUCAUUCCUGCUGAUCAUGAACAUCCUACAAGCCUCACCAUUUUGGAGUUGCUCUGGGAGACCGCAGGACAUUUCAGGUCAUUCUCAGCAUCUGGGAGACCGCAGGACAUUUCAGGUCAUUCUCAGCAUCUGGGAGACCGCAGGACAUUUCAGGUCAUUCUCAGCAUCUGGGAGACCGCAGGACAUUUCAGGUCAUUCUCAGCAUCUGGGAGAGCGCAGGACAUUUCAGGUCAUUCUCAGCAUCUGGGAGACCGCAGGACAUUUCAGGUCAUUCUCAGCAUCUCGGAGACCGCAGGACAUUUCAGGUCAUUCUCAGCAUCUGGGAGACCGCAGGACAUUUCAGGUCAUUCUCAGCAUCUGGGAGACCGCAGGACAUUUCAGGUCAUUCUCAGCAUCUGGGAGACCGCAGGACAUUUCAGGUCAUUCUCAGCAUCUGGGAGACCGCAGGACAUUUCAGGUCAUUCUCAGCAUCUGGGAGAGCGCAGGACAUUUCAGGUCAUUCUCAGCAUCUGGGAGAGCGCAGGACAUUUAACGCCAUUCUCAGUGUCUGGGAGACCGCAGGACCUGUCAUGUGCCCUAACCCUAACCUAACCUCUGAAACACAUCCGGGACAGCUCAAUAAGGAACUGAAAAACAUUACUGCUGUUGCUUUCUCCAUCUUCUCGGCCAUGAGCGAGUUGUGUGUUCAGGACGGAAUGCAUGGCGAGGUGGCAGCAGUGUCUGAAGCAGGCGAUCAGCUGAAUGAAGACGUGGUGGCGGGUCCUCCGGAUACUUUAGCUCUGCCCUUCAAGCUGGCACCUGCCCCUUUGCUCGGUGGCAGGCACAGCAAACACCUUAAACAAAGCCACACUUCCCCCACCUGCAUGACAUUGCUGACACUGCCAUUUUUGGACAAAUCAUUUUUUCAUUUGAUCCCCUUUUUCGGGUCCAUAGUCUGUGCUAUCUGUAGCACUAUUGUAGCAGAAGAGAAAGUUGAGUUUUAAAUCCCAGCUGCCCCCCCAGUGUUUGCUAAUCUCUGCUCUCUGUUUGUUGAUGAGUAUAACCUUAGGAGGCCUCUUGGGAGCUGCACCUGGCACUGGGCUGCGGAGCUGUCUGUGCGGUGCUGCUCUGCGCACAGCGGCAGCUGGGGUCAAAUGAUUAGUGGCUGUUUCCUGGCAAUGGCCUUGACAACAGACCUGGGGCCAGGCCUGGCUUGGGUCCAGGCAAACGUCGGCCCUCUGGCCUGGGACACAUGUCCACCUUAUUGCUCGCUGUUACAAUCUUAAUUUUUAUGAAAAGCAGUCAACUGGAAAAGAAGGCAUGGGAGCCAACAGGGCUUUCAAAUGGCACAGCUGCUCCUUGCUCUCACAUUGCCUACAGACACAACGAAAUGAACACAUUUUCCCACAAUCCCUCAGUAACUCUUUGGUCACAGUGUCAAUGCAUGCAAACCACAUGGUGUGACGGUCUUGAAAGUUCAGUUCUGUUUUUUUUUUUUAAUCUUGUUUUCCUAACUGCCAUUAUUACCGCAGGUCUUGUUCAUUUUCCUUAGAAUGUGAGGUCACUUUUAGAUAAUCUUUAUCAGGAAUUUUUCAUUGUUUAUUUCUGGCUGGCAGUACCGUUGCUUUGACAACCGUGUUGUAACCGUGUUGCUGUCAGUGGAGGGCAGCUGCAUGUGACUGUGGUGGAGCAGAGGGCUGAAAGGACGCUGCGUUUCUGACGCUGCCUUUGCAUGUGAGACCUGCUCACACCCACCUGAGAGGCUUCAUAAGCUCCCCUUCAUUCACCCGGCUGAAUCACAGCACUUAAUGAUGAUCUUAUCGCUGCCCGAAAAUCUAUUACCCUUUUCAGAUUUGAGGACUGGUGAUUUUUUUUCAGUUAGAGAUCCAGCUUCAUGCAGUGUAAAACACCUUUGGGACAGUGAGUCAUCAUAGCAGAGUAAUAUUUCAGUGUCUCAGGUAAGUGUGAACCCAGUGCAGAAUUUGGGGCUGAUCCACUAUGCACCAGCACUGCCACGUCUUCCCCCUUGUUACUGGCACUUAUUAUCAGCCCAAUAACUGACCUAUCAGUCCAGUUUUCCAGGCAAAUAGACGAAUACAUAACACAUCUUCCUUUAGUGAUGGCAUUGAAUUACGUUGCUAAAUUCUGGCAGAUUGUGUGUAACACAUCCGACUUAGAGGAAUAACGCAAGUUAUCGUUUCAUGUUAUCUCAGGUUUCAUUUUAUCCUUCUUCAGUUGCAGCAUUUUGCUUGGAGCUACUUUCAGGAAUUUCCAUGUUAUUGCACGGUGUCGAAAUAAACCCGUGGUUAUGAGCAGCUGCUGUAAUAGAUGUUAUGUAAAGGAACGUGUCAACACUCAAUGGAGAGGGUGUAUGCAGUUAAAUUUGUUUUGACUCGUUACCUAUGGUAGCAAUAUAUACUUUAUAUAUACAAUAAAUAUUUUCCGUAAUGGUUUAAUCCUGAUAAUAUAAAUGAGAUGCAACAGUAUAGAAGUGCAGAGUGUAACAUUUGCUAUUGCCGCGGCAUUAUUUGUUACCUUUUGUGUUUGACCAGGCUCUCACUUCUGACAGCAAUCUCCUGAAGAGUCUGUGCCAU